CACACUUUCACAUCCUUAAGGACUGGGAUGGCCCUCGACUCCCACCCAAAAUCUGGGUCAGAUGUUGAGACUGAUGAUGCCAAGCACACACCAAGAGAUAAUGGAAAGAAUAUACAAUAAUAGGCUGGGUGUUGUGGCUCAUGCCUGUAACCCCAGCAUUUUAGGAGGCCA